rnacentral:lncRNA from 1 species
UUCAAAUUUUAGAUUUUUCAAUCCUAUCUUUUCUCUUUCAUACUCAAAUCUCUCUUUCUUCUAAUUUCUCAUUUGUUUUUGCCCUGUCUCACCUUUCCACGCUCAAACAGAGAUGAGAAAGAAAACAACAAUGGCUGAAGAAGGGAGAAAGAAGAAGAUUCAUAGCAGAAAAAGAAUAUCAGGAAGAAAGAAGAAUGUAACAUGGGUUAGUGAUUUUCUCUAUAAUUUUUUCUUUAUUGAAGACAUUUUUUUCUUUAUUGUUUUCAAAACAUUCCUUACUUUAUCGUGAAAUUAUCUACUACUACAAAAUCUUCUUAUUUGUUUCUGUUGGAAUUUACUUACCUAGCAAUUUUAUGUUGUCAUGUUUCAGUUUUAUGAAUACACACCAUGUGUUUGACAAAAUGUUCAUUCUAGGUAUUUGAUUUUUCUUUCUUUUUUAUUGUUCAAUUUUUCAAUCAGAACUUAGAAAAGGGUUAUCAAACAUAGUUUAGUUGUUGUUCUUCUUCAUUAUUUAUUUUAUUUUUCUGUUUUGUUUAUUUAUUUUACUCAUCACUUUCAUUUUCUAUAUGCACACCAUGUGUUUGAUUAAAUGUUGUUGUGACUUCCCAUCAACAUUAGAAGCUAUGGUGCAAAAAGAUGAUUUUAUUUUACCAUUUUAAUUGUAUAUUUACCUAACCAUUCAUUCUAUCUUUGUAAAAAAAAAAUCUGCAAAAUUGAUUUACUAGGUAAGGUUUGUUUCUCUCCCUUUCAUUCAUUCUUCUUUCCUUUGUCAUUUUAAACCUUGAAAAUUUAACUUUUCAUUUUUUUUGGAAUGAAGUUUGCGCAAAUGGAGCUAAAGAAGAUAAGAGAUUCUUUUACAUAUGCAUUUUUGUUCAACAUUUAACCAAACUUUGCUUUUAAUGCAGGUUCUUUAUAUACAUAUUUUCUCCAAUAUGACAUUAACAAA